rnacentral:lncRNA from 1 species
AAAAUGAAAACGAUCAUGAAAUGUAUAGGGUUUUUAGUAGUACAAUUUAGUAGUUGAAGCAAUUACAAUCAAAUGGAAAUGAAUAGUAUUACCACACAAAAGAAUUGAGAUAACAUCCAAAUUACAAAUACGCAAUCACACAAUAAUCAAAUUAUAAAACAUCAAAACAUAAGUGAUACUUAAAACACGUAAAUGAUAUCAAAUAAUACUAUGUACUU